GACGAACCGUGCGAACGUUGUUCGGAAUCACUGGGCUUAAAGGGCGCGUAGGCGGAUCAUCAAGUCCGGGGUGAAAUCCCAUGGCUCAACCAUGGAAGUGCCUUGGAUACUAGUGGUCUUGAGGGAGGUAGGGGCGUGUGGAACUUCCGGUGGAGCGGUGAAAUGCGUAGAUAUCGGAAGGAACGCCGGUGGCGAAAGCGACGCGCUGGACCUCUACUGACGCUGAGGCGCGAAAGCCAGGGGAGCAAACGGG
rnacentral:rRNA from 1 species